AUAAAAAUUAGUAACAUAAUAUUUAUUUUAGUCACUGACCGUCCCUACAGCAAGUGGUAAAGGACUUGGUGGUUGGUACCUGAGACCCAAGUUCUAAUCCUAUUUGAUUCAUAUUUCCAGCUAAAUUUACUUCUAAAUAAAAUAAACGAAGCGGUAGCGUGCUACCUAUCUCUCAAAAAAAAAAAAAUUUUAUUUUAGUCUUU
rnacentral:lncRNA from 1 species